rnacentral:rRNA from 1 species
GUGGGGAAUAUUGGACAAUGGGCGCAAGCCUGAUCCAGCCAUGCCGCGUGAGUGAUGAAGGCCUUAGGGUUGUAAAGCUCUUUCAGUGGGGACGAUAAUGACGGUACCCACAGAAGAAGCCCCGGCUAACUUCGUGCCAGCAGCCGCGGUAAUACGAAGGGGGCUAGCGUUGUUCGGAUUUACUGGGCGUAAAGCGCACGUAGGCGGGUCGUUAAGUCGGGGGUGAAAUCCUGGAGCUCAACUCCAGAACUGCCUUCGAUACUGGCGACCUAGAGUCCGGAAGAGGUGAGUGGAACUCCUAGUGUAGAGGUGGAAUUCGUAGAUAUUAGGAAGAACACCAGUGGCGAAGGCGGCUCACUGGUCCGGUACUGACGCUGAGGUGCGAAAGCGUGGGGAGCAAACAGGAUUAGAAACCCUGGUAGUCC